rnacentral:tRNA from 1 species
GGUUGUGGCUCAGCGGUAGAGCACUCGCCUAGCAUGUGCGAGGCCCUGGGUUCUAUCCUCAGCACCA